UAUAUUCGUUCAUAUAUACUGUAUUUUUUUAGUCAUCGGAUAUUAUUUAGGACUCAUAUGAGCCAAUUUUGAGGAAAAUUGUUUAUAAAAAUGCACGAAUUUUUCGUGCCAAAUAGUCCACUUUAACAUUUGCAUUACGAGAGAUUAAAGAUAAAUAAAAAAUGAGAAUUCUUCUUUGUCGCUCUGAAACUCCUCCAAAUAAAUUGAAAAUGCUGGCCAUUCGGUUGGGAAGACACCUUCUUCACCAGGUCUGAACAGUCCGUAAAAAUAGCUACUUGUCGGCACCAAUCAUAAAAAAUAUUAGUUAUCAUGAUUUUUAUGACCAUGAUUUUUAAAAAUAUAAUAGAUAAAAAA
rnacentral:sRNA from 1 species